rnacentral:rRNA from 1 species
UACGAAGGGGGCUAGCGUUGCUCGGAAUCACUGGGCGUAAAGGGUGCGUAGGCGGGUCUUUAAGUCAGGGGUGAAAUCCUGGAGCUCAACUCCAGAACUGCCUUUGAUACUGAAGAUCUUGAGUUCGGGAGAGGUGAGUGGAACUGCGAGUGUAGAGGUGAAAUUCGUAGAUAUUCGCAAGAACACCAGUGGCGAAGGCGGACUCACUGGCCCGGUACUGACGCUGAGGUGCGAAAGCGUGGGAG